rnacentral:rRNA from 1 species
GAUGAACGCUAGCUACAGGCUUAACACAUGCAAGUCGCGGGGCAGCAUGGGGGUUGCUUGCAAUCCCCGAUGGUGACCGGCGCACGGGUGAGUAACGCGUAUCCAACCUGCCCUUCACCACGGGAUAACCCGGCGAAAGUCGGACUAAUACCGUAUGUUGUCCAUUGACGGCAUCCGAUUUGGACGAAAGGUUUGGCGGUGAAGGAUGGGGAUGCGUCCGAUUAGCUGGACGGCGGGGUGACGGCCCACCGUGGCGACGAUCGGUAGGGGUUCUGAGAGGAAGGUCCCCCACACUGGAACUGAGACACGGUCCAGACUCCUACGGGAGGCAGCAGUGAGGAAUAUUGGUCAAUGGGCGUAAGCCUGAACCAGCCAAGUAGCGUGCAGGAUGACGGCCCUAUGGGUUGUAAACUGCUUUUAUGCGGGGAUAAAGUGGCCCACGUGUGGGUUUUUGCAGGUACCGCAUGAAUAAGGACCGGCUAAUUCCGUG